UACGUAGGGUGCGAGCGUUAAUCGGAAUUACUGGGCGUAAAGCGUGCGCAGGCGGUUUUGUAAGCCGGAUGUGAAAUCCCCGGGCUUAACCUGGGAAUGGCAUUCGGGACUGCAAGGCUGGAGUGCGGCAGAGGAGACUGGAAUUCCUGGUGUAGCAGUGAAAUGCGUAGAUAUCAGGAGGAACACCAGUGGCGAAGGCGGUUGCCUGGAGCUUUGCUGACGCUGAUGCGCGAAAGCGUGGGGAGCGAUCCGG
rnacentral:rRNA from 1 species